rnacentral:RNase_P_RNA from 1 species
GAAAGCAGGCGAGGUGAUCGCGGCCGGCCUCCGCUCAGGGGUGCCGGCUGAGGAAAGUCCGGGCUCCCCGAUGGCCAGGCCUGCUGGGUAACGCCCAGUGCGGGUGACCGUGAGGAGAGUGCCACAGAAACACACCGCCGAUGGCCCCGGAGCCCGCCUCCGGCGGCACAGGCAAGGGUGCAAAGGUGCGGUAAGAGCGCACCAGCAGCAUCGAGAGGUGCUGGCUCGGUAAACCCCGGCCGGGAGCAAGGCCAAGGGGCAAUGGCUGGCCAUCGACCCAGCCCCGCCGCAACGCGCCGCUCGAGGCCGCCGGUAACGGCGGUCCCAGAUAGAUGAUCACCCCCGCGUCCGGCCGGUCCGGAGGCGGUGAACAGAACCCGGCUUACGUCCUGCUUUCCUCC